UACGGAGGGUGCUAGCGUUGUUCGGAAUUACUGGGCGUAAAGGGCGCGUAGGCGGCCGUUUGCGUCGGAUGUGAAAGCCCGGGGCUCAACCUCGGAACGGCAUUCGAUACGGGACGGCUGGAGACCGGGAGAGGAGAGUGGAAUAGCCAGUGUAGAGGUGAAAUUCGUAGAUAUUGGCUGGAACACCGGUGGCGAAAGCGGCUCUCUGGCCCGGUUCUGACGCUGAGGCGCGAAAGCUAGGGGAGCGAACAGG
rnacentral:rRNA from 1 species